GGAGCCGGUUGGGAGGAUGCUGAGUGUGCCGUGGCCGGUAUAGACGCCAAAACUUUGCGGGUUGGAAAAAUGCCAGAGGGACGAGGACCGGAGGUUGUUUCGACCCGUGAGGCCUCGGCUUCCUGAGAAUCAGUUCCAGAAGAGACAUUCAUCAUGUGAAUGCAUUGCUGUGAGCCUAACAGCCUAGAAUGGGUCUAUAGCCAGACAUCAUCCGCUCCAGUUGAUGACUGAAAAGGAACUGUCUUACCAGAGGUUAUUGCUAAAUAUUGCUCUGUACACUACAGAUCUCUUUUGAAGAUUAACACAAUUUAUGUUUUUGCCCUGUGCAGUCAUAGAAUAAACCUCCAGAG